rnacentral:rRNA from 1 species
GACGAACGCUGGCGGCGUGCUUAACACAUGCAAGUCGAACGGAAAGGCCCUGCUUUUGUGGGGUGCUCGAGUGGCGAACGGGUGAGUAACACGUGAGUAACCUGCCCUUGACUUUGGGAUAACUUCAGGAAACUGGGGCUAAUACCGGAUAGGAGCUCCUGCUGCAUGGUGGGGGUUGGAAAGUUUCGGCGGUUGGGGAUGGACUCGCGGCUUAUCAGCUUGUUGGUGGGGUAGUGGCUUACCAAGGCUUUGACGGGUAGCCGGCCUGAGAGGGUGACCGGCCACAUUGGGACUGAGAUACGGCCCAGACUGCUACGGGAGGCAGCAGUGGGGAAUAUUGCACAAUGGGCGGAAGCCUGAUGCAGCAACGCCGCGUGCGGGAUGACGGCCUUCGGGUUGUAAACCGCUUUCGCCUGUGACGAAGCGCGAGUGACGGUAAUGGGUAAAGAAGCACCGGCUAACUACGUG